UAAUAGCGGCGUUUUUUUCACUUUUUUAUAAAAUCCCUUCUUUUUUCCCCUUCUUUUUCCCAAAAUUUCUAAUGAAAUCCCACCUGAAAUCUUUCUUGUUUUUUUCCCCAUUUUAUUUUUUUGCCCUCAAUUUCUCCAAAUCGACAGCCCUCUGCAUCUCUGUUGGUCCCACCCAUUUUCGCAGCCUCGACUUUGAUGAACGAAACGACUACCUCAAAGGCGUCGUCACCGAUGUUAUCCAUGACCCAGGCCGCAGUGUGCCCUUAGCUCGCGUCGUGUUCCGUCACCCAUUCCGUUACAAGAAGCAGAAGGAACCGUUCGUCGCCGCUGAGGGUAUGUACACUGGACAGUUCGUGUACUGUGGUAAGAAGGUCACCCUUAUGGUCGGAAACGUGUUGCCUCUUAGAUAUAUCCCCGAAGGAGCUAUCGUUUGCAACGUCGAACACCAUGUUGGUGAUCGUGGGGUUUUCGCUAGGCUUCUGGUGAUUAUGCCAUUGUUAUUAGUCACAACCCUGAUAACGACACUACCAGACUUGAUGAUACCCUAUGGGAUUUGCAGACCAUUCAUCCGACCAUGCUGAUUUCCAUCUUGACAUUGUAUUUGUUCAUAUUCCAUGUAGUUUAUAUUUGCCAUCUUGAAAACAACUCUGCCGAAAAUUUCAACAGUCUUUUUAUAUUUGUAUUUUUUUUUCAAAUGCCAUUUUUCAAAUCUUUUCCUUUGAAUUUCCAAUCCCUUCAGAGCUCUGAAAAAUAUUUAGGCGCUAUUGGCUGGGGUUUACAAGGAGCUACGUCAGGCAUGGAGGAUGCCAAAGAGCAAAUUGUACAGGAGUCCAAAAAUUCCACGCUACCAUCUCAAGAUGAGGUAGUGUUCUUAUCUUGGUUCAUUGUGGAAUAUUUGAUUGGUUAAAGAUCUUAGCUACGUACAGGAUUAAAAUUUUAUUCUCUGGAGUUCUAUAGUUGCUUUUGAUUGAUUGGAUUGGUUGGAAUUUUAGGUGUUCAUUUGUAAAAUUUUCAUAACUUGUUUGUUCUGUUGUUUCAGAAACUGAAUAUGACCCAUGGUUUUGCUUGGCACUUUUACAUUUUAAAUUAUCUUAACACUGUAAUAGCCCAAUAUUGCCCGGCCCAAUAUAAAUAAUACAAACCAAAAAUAUUAAUAAGAAAAUGUCCAAAUACAUAAGGCCUAACGGGGCCCAACCCGUUUUAACCUAAACUCCCCACUGUCCAACCCAUUACAGGCCCAAAUCAGAAACCUAAACUAGCCUAAACUUGGGAAAUCAGAAACCCUAGGCAGGCAUUCAGCCCUAGCACAAGCGUCGCAAUAGCGGCCUCCAACACGCCUCUUCCGCUCCAUGCCAGCCUUUGCCUCCGUACGUGUCGAGCCACGUCAUGCAUACCCGUACCUGUAAGAAGGACGAACAACACAAGGACAACACAACACACAAAGAAACAACAAAAAGAAAGAAACGAAACAACAGAAAAGAGGAUUAUGUAUUUUUCUUUUUAUUAUUCUGUAUUUUCAGCUAUAUAAGCCAAGAUUCGAACCUUGUAUUUUUUGGUACGCACACUGAAAUACAAAGAAAUUGAAAAAAAGAAAUAAGAAACCAGUUCGAAGAAGGUGA